UACAUAGGGUGCAAGCGUUGUCCGGAAUUAUUGGGCGUAAAGAGCUCGUAGGCGGUUCGUCGCGUCGGCUGUGAAAACCCGGAGCUCAACUCCGGGCCUGCAGUCGAUACGGGCGGACUAGAGUUCGGCAGGGGAGACUGGAAUUCCUGGUGUAGCGGUGAAAUGCGCAGAUAUCAGGAGGAACACCGGUGGCGAAGGCGGGUCUCUGGGCCGAUACUGACGCUGAGGAGCGAAAGCGUGGGGAGCGAACAGG
rnacentral:rRNA from 1 species